AUUGAACGCUGGCGGCAUGCCUUACACAUGCAAGUCGAACGGCAGUAUGACCUAGCUUGCUAGGUUGAUGUCGAGUGGCGCACGGGGUAGUAAUGCGUAGGAAUAUACCUUAAAGCGGGGGAUAACUUGGGGAAACUCAGGCUAAUACCGCAUGAGCUCUGAGGAGUAAAGCUGGGGACGGCAAGGCCUGGCGCUUUAAGAUUAGCCGCCGUCCGAUUAGCUAGUUGGUGGGGUAAGAGCUUACCAAGGCGACGAUCGGUAGCUGGUCUGAGAGGAUGAUCAGCCACACUGGGACUGAGACACGGCCCAGACUCCUACGGGAGGCAGCAGUGGGGAAUAUUGGACAAUGGGGGCAACCCUGAUCCAGCGAUGCCGCGUGUGUGAAGAAGGCCUGCGGGUUGUAAAGCACUUUCAGUGGGGAGGAGAGCUUAAAGGUUAAGAGCUAUUAAGUUGGACGUUACCCACAGAAGAAGCACCGGCUAACUCCGUGCCAGCCGCCGCCGUAAAAC
rnacentral:rRNA from 1 species